rnacentral:rRNA from 1 species
GAUGAACGCUGGCGGCGUGCUUAACACAUGCAAGUCGAACGGAAAGGCUCCUGCUUGCAGGGGUACUCGAGUGGCGAACGGGUGAGUAACACGUGGGUGAUCUGCCCUGCACUUCGGGAUAAGCCUGGGAAACUGGGUCUAAUACCGGAUAGGACGAUGGUUUGGAUGCCAUUGUGGAAAGUUUUUUCGGUGUGGGAUGAGCUCGCGGCCUAUCAGCUUGUUGGUGGGGUAAUGGCCUACCAAGGCGUCGACGGGUAGCCGGCCUGAGAGGGUGUACGGCCACAUUGGGACUGAGACACGGCCCAGACUCCUACGGGAGGCAGCAGUGGGGAAUAUUGCACAAUGGGCGCAAGCCUGAUGCAGCGACGCCGCGUGGGGGAUGACGGCCUUCGGGUUGUAAACUCCUUUCGCUAGGGACGAAGCGCAAGUGACGGUACCUGGAGAAGAAGCACCGGCUAACUACGUG